AAAAGGAGUGGUUGCCCUUGCAGAUUCCUUUCUCCUCACAGUCCUAUAGAGUAGAAUUCUAGGAACAAAAUUUGUUUCUUAAUUUUUAGAAGAAAACAAACAACUCAUAGAGGAGAUUCUUUGGAGUUCUGGUACAUCAAAGAAGAAUCCUCUAGACCACUGUUUUGAGAGAGAAUAAGCUUCAGAUUGAGGCAUUUGGGGGCUGUUUUGGUGGGUGUUGUACGCGUGCAAAGUUGUGGAAUUUGUCAUUAGCGAGAUACUGUAGCAGAGGGUGAGACUAGUGGCUAACUAGUUCGUUCGAGUGGAUUCUGUCGCUGAGGUGAGCCUUCGCAUUGAUCGUGGAGGCUACUGUUUCAGCUAUAGUUAUUUAUAGCUUACAUCUUCUUUUCUUGGGGUUUGCAUGCCCGACAGUUGGACUCAUGUAAUUCUAUUAGUGCUCCAUGGUUUUACUGUGGGAUUUUGGCUAGAUAUACAUUAUUUAAGUGUCCAUUCUAUUCAUAAAUCGAUAUACGAUUUUGGUUUGAUAACUAUUUUAUUUUGAGGUGUAUUGAUGAGUUUUGGAGUUGCACAUAUUUUAUUUCAGUGCUUAGAUAAUUUGGUUAAGUGUAUGGAUAUUUGGUUCGCCCGACAAGUGGUGAUAGUGGGUGCCAGUCACGUCUAGGGGGUAUUUUGGGGCGUGAUAGCAGCAUUAUACAAUUAACCUAUAUUGCUAAAAGAGGAAACCUAUAUAUACUGAGCGGUGGAUGCACAACUACCCAUGCUUGAGUUCAUGCAUAGGUGUUGAGCGAGGGAAGAGCAUCAAUCAGAUAAAUCAACAAACUGAAAACAAGCAUCACAUGAAUAGAAUAACAAG